AUUGAACGCUGGCGGCAUGCUUUACACAUGCAAGUCGAACGGCAGCGGGGAGGAGCUUGCUUCUCUGCCGGCGAGUGGCGACCGGGUGAGUAAUACAUCGGAACGUGUCGAGAAGAGGGGGAUAACCACCCGAAAGGGUGGCUAAUACCGCAUAAAUUCUGAGGCAGAAAGCUGGGGACCUAGGAAUAGGCCUAGCGCUUUUUGAGCGGCCGAUGUCGGAUUAGCUAGUUGGUGAGGUAAAGGCUCACCAAGGCGAAGAUCUGUAGCGGGUCUGAGAGGAUGAUCCGCCACACUGGGACUGAGACACGGCCCAGACUCCUACGGGAGGCAGCAGUGGGGAAUUUUGGACAAUGGGGGCAACCCUGAUCCAGCCAUGCCGCGUGUAUGAAGAAGGCCUUAGGGUUGUAAAGUGCUUUUGUUAGGGAAGAAAAGUCAGCUGUGAAUAAUGGCUGAUACUGACGGUACCUAAAGAAUAAGCACCGGCUAACUACGUG
rnacentral:rRNA from 1 species